rnacentral:rRNA from 1 species
GACGAACGCUGGCGGCGUGCUUAACACAUGCAAGUCGAACGAUGAAGCCUAGCUUGCUAGGUGGAUUAGUGGCGAACGGGUGAGUAAUACGUGAGUAACCUAUCUUUAACUCUGGGAUAAGCCUGGGAAACUGGGUCUAAUACCGGAUACGACCAAUCUCCGCAUGGGGUGUUGGUGGAAAGCGUUAUGUAGUGGUUAUAGAUGGGCUCACGGCCUAUCAGCUUGUUGGUGAGGUAACGGCUCACCAAGGCGACGACGGGUAGCCGGCCUGAGAGGGUGACCGGCCACACUGGGACUGAGACACGGCCCAGACUCCUACGGGAGGCAGCAGUGGGGAAUAUUGCACAAUGGGCGCAAGCCUGAUGCAGCGACGCCGCGUGAGGGAUGACGGCCUUCGGGUUGUAAACCUCUGUUAGCAGGGAAGAAGAGAGAUUGACGGUACCUGCAGAGAAAGCGCCGGCUAACUACGUGCCAGCAGCCGCGGUAAUACGUAGGGCGCGAGCGUUGUCCGGAAUUAUUGGGUGUAAAGAGCUUGUAGGCGGUUUGUCGCGUCUGCUGUGAAAGGCCGGAGCUUAACUCCGUGUAUUGCAGUGGGUACGGGCAGACUAGAGUGCAGUAGGGGAGACUGGAAUUCCUGGUGUAGCGGUGGAAUGCGCAGAUAUCAGGAGGAACACCGAUGGCGAAGGCAGGUCUCUGGGCUGUAACUGACGCUGAGAAGCGAAAGCAUGGGGAGCGAACAGGAUUAGAUACCCUGGUAGUCCAUGCCGUAAACGUUGGGCACUAGGUGUGGGGAACAUUCCACGUUUUCCGCGCCGUAGCUAACGCUUUAAGUACCCCGCCUGGGGAGUACGGCCGCAAGGCUAAAACUCAAAGGAAUUGACGGGGCCCCGCACAAGCGGCGGAGCAUGCGGAUUAAUUCGAUGCAACGCGUAGAACCUUACCUGGGUUUGACAUGGAUCGGGAGUGCUCAGAGAUGGGUGUGCCUCUUUUGGGGUCGGUUCACAGGUGGUGCAUGGCUGUCGUCAGCUCGUGUCGUGAGAUGUUGGGUUAAGUCCCGCAACGAGCGCAACCCUUGUUCACUGUUGCCAGCACGUUAUGGUGGGGACUCAGUGGAGACCGCCGGGGUCAACUCGGAGGAAGGUGGGGAUGACGUCAAGUCAUCAUGCCCCUUAUGUCCAGGGCUUCACGCAUGCUACAAUGGCUGGUACAGAGAGUGGCGAGCCUGUGAGGGUGAGCGAAUCUCGGAAAGCCGGUCUCAGUUCGGAUUGGGGUCUGCAACUCGACCUCAUGAAGUCGGAGUCGCUAGUAAUCGCAGAUCAGCAACGCUGCGGUGAAUACGUUCCCGGG